rnacentral:rRNA from 12 species
AAAUUUAAAAUUUAAAAAUUUAAAAAUUACAAAUUUAAAAAUUAAAAAAUUUAAAAAUUACAAAAAUAAAAAUUGGAAAGCAACGGAUCACUCAAAUGCUCAAAGACAACGCAA